AAAGUGGCAUCACUAUACAUUUAAAACUCUGGUGGUUAAAGAUGGGCAUGCGUGACAUUAGCUGGUUGGUGAGGUAACGGCUCACCAAGGCUACGAUGUCUAGGGGUUCUGAGAGGAUGAUCCCCCACACUGGUACUGAGACACGGACCAGACUCCUACGGGAGGCAGCAGUAAGGAAUAUUGGUCAAUGGACGCAAGUCUGAACCAGCCAUGCCGCGUGCAGGAAGACAGCCUUAUGGGUUGUAAACUGCUUUUAUAAAGGAAUAAACCCAUUCUCGUGAGGAUGGUUGAAGGUACUUUAUGAAUAAGCACCGGCUAACUCCGUGCCAGCAGCCGCGGUAAUACGGAGGGUGCAAGCGUUAUCCGGAUUUAUUGGGUUUAAAGGGUGCGCAGGCGGACCUGUCAGUCAGUGGUGAAAUCCCGGGGCUCGACCUCGGAACUGCCAUUGAUACUGCAGGUCUUGAGUUUGGUUGAAGUGGGCGGAAUGUAGCAUGUAGCGGUGAAAUGCAUAGAUAUGCUACAGAACACCGAUCGCGAAGGCAGCUCACUAAACCAAAACUGACGCUCAGGCACGAAAGCGUGGGUAGCGAACAGGAUUAGAUACCCUGGUAGUCCACGCCGUAAACGAUGAUCACUCGUUGUUGGCGAUACACAGUCAGCGACCAAGCGAAAGCGAUAAGUGAUCCACCUGGGGAGUACGUUCGCAAGAAUGAAACUCAAAGGAAUUGACGGGGGCCCGCACAAGCGGUGGAGCAUGUGGUUUAAUUCGAUGAUACGCGAGGAACCUUACCUGGGCUCAAAUGUAAGUUGACGUAACGGGAAACCGUUAUUUCUUCGGACAAUUUACAAGGUGCUGCAUGGUUGUCGUCAGCUCGUGCCGUGAGGUGUCGGGUUAAGUCCCAUAACGAGCGCAACCCCUAUCAUUAGUUGCCAUCAGGUAAAGCUGGGGACUCUAGUGAAACUGCCUACGCAAGUAGAGAGGAAGGUGGGGAUGACGUCAAAUCAGCACGGCCCUUACGUCCAGGGCUACACACGUGCUACAAUGGUAGGUACAGCGAGCAGCCACCCCGCGAGGGGGAGCGAAUCUAUAAAGCCUAUCACAGUUCGGAUCGGAGUCUGCAACUCGACUCCGUGAAGCUGG
rnacentral:rRNA from 1 species